CACGUCAAGUUUUUAUUGAGUCACACAACUCUGGCCACAACAGAACAGACGCCUGAUCUACGGCUCUUUUUGUAGACACUUGAAAAGGAUGAGAAGAGGCUUGUGCUGUUGACAGUACACACACAUUUAUUCAUUUUUUUUUUUUUAUGUAUUUGUUUGCUUGGUAAAAGUGGUUGCCACAUUCAUUGCAUUUUUACGUUUACUGCUUUAUCAUCAUAUCAAACACGCUCUGAUCCAACAUAAUUCACUUUCUAGUUGUACUCCUGAGAACGAAUAGAAAAUAUAUCUGCAACCUUGCGUUUUUACGUUUACUGCUUUAUCACCAUAUCGUUUGUUUUUCUGUAGACUUUAUUUUGUAUUUAUUUUUUCUGCUGCUGUUGACUUGUUGACUUCUAUAACUUUUGUAUAUAACUAUUUUCUCCAUGAUACCAAAUUAUUGAAAAUCCGGUAAUAUACAGUACAUAUAUUUAUGUCAAAAAUGCAAUUAGUGCCUUCAUUUCAUUGUUUUCUUUUUGUUUACUUCUUUGACUUGCUAUAAGUGGUUGAAUUCUAUAACUCUUGUAUAUACACAUUAUCUUCUCCAUAAUACCAAAUUAUUGAAAGUCUGGUAAUAUACAGUACAUAUAUUUAUAUGUCAAAAAUGAAAUGUGUCUUCAUUUCAUUUUUUUUUUUGAGGUGAAUAGUUUCUGCAAUUUUGUAAUCCUGUUUUUAGUUUUUGUUAUGACAUUGUAAUUUGUAUUUUUUGUAUUUUUCUUGUAAAGUGAUUUGGCAUGGCAUUGCCAUGAAAGGUGCUAUAUAAAAAUAAAUUGGUUGAUUGAUUGAUUGUUGAAUUGUUUUAUGUGUGGGUGGAGUGCAGGUUUGAAAGAUGGCUGGAAGAAACUACAAGAAACUGAUGGAGUCCCUGAAGACCACAAGAAAGCCCAAUUGAUCUUGAGGAUAUCGACACCCUUUUCCUUGAGGAUCACGAGGGGAUGGAUCCACUAGAAGAGGACCAGCUGGAUGAGGAGCUGAUGAUGGAAGAGGGUAGAGCUGAAGAGGAAGAAGCCGUUCCAGAUGAGCCCCAGCCCAGCACUUCCACUGUCAAUAUGGCCACCACAGAUGCAGACCAUGCACACUCCUUGUCCACUAAACGCCGCUGUACACGUCGUCGCAAUGCACCAGAUCGCUGGUCACCAGACAGGUCUGCACUCGCUCGCUACACACUUGACCACACUACUGCCUCCACACCUGAUGCUUCUGCGGAACCUGCUCCAGGCCACUUUGUCGAUGAAGAGAGUGACGCAGAGCCAGGUUUCUUCACGUAUGAAGACGCAGACCAUGAGGCACUGAGACCGCUCCCUUUCAGACCUAGUCGUCCUGUAGGAGUUGACCUCCCCAUGGUUACCCGUGCUCUUCAAUUCACCACAGAUAAGUUUACCCGCAAAAUAGAUUUUGUCCUCCUCUUUUUCACGCAGGUUAUCAUCAAUGAUAUUUGCAAAUUUUCAAAUGCUCAAGGAUGGCAUUUGGUUGCAGAAAAACCUAGCUACGGUAAUAGUCAAGGCGGUUGGAACGAAGUUACCCCAGAGGAGUUAACAUGAUUGUAUGGUUAGCUACUGUUCAUUUGUAUCGGAGCAUGGCUUCUUUGCAUCAUGGCUUAUGGGCUAGGGCAUUCAUGACAAGCAAUCGAUUCAAGGUGAUAAUGGCUGUGCAACAUAUCGUCGAUCCCACCACUGAAAAUAACACUGAUCGCUUACGUAAACUGAGCUGCCUCCUCGAUCAUCUAAAAGCCACGUGUUUUAAACUUUAUCAGCCAAACCAAAAUCUAAUUUUGUAAUAAACCACUGCAUUGACAUAGUUGUCACCAACAGUUUCCUUCUCUCCCAAGAGUCACAUGAAAAAAAUGAGGGAACAGCCGGUUUUGAAAGAUGAAGAAAAUAUUCUCAUCUUCAUUUUAGAGAAAAUCUUUGCCGGCAGCUAGCGGGAAUAGGUAUAGAUGAUGACGUAACGCUAUACGAGCUAACAGCCAAAUUAACACUAGAACCGCCAUGUGGGUCAGUUUGACCCAUUUUGCAUUUAAAAUGUUAAUUACUCUUCCGUUCUAAAUCGUAUGUGUAUGUGUCCGUUUUUGACACUUCCUAAUAUAUGAAUUAAAUAUCCUGACUAAUAGCCAGAAUCGCAAAAAUUAUAUAUAUAUAUUUUUUUUGUAAAUGCAACAAAAAAGACACGCCUCCUCCUAGCACACAUGUUGUUUUUUUUUAUUUCAAGCCUUUCUUUGUUUGUAGAGUGACUACGAGACAGAGAUUGCUAUGAUUGUGGAUUUGUCAAGAUGCAAACUCAGUGAAAGCCUAGUUGCUUAUUUUUCAAUGUACCUGGAGACAUCAAUCCUUGGUUUUGUUCCACAAAUACAACUGGGAAUAUAUCAGAAGGAAAUAUUUAAUCUUGAAAGUAGUCAUUUUGAUUGGAAUACGGCAAGCUGCACUCAGAUGCAUACAGCAAACUGAAAUGACAGGUAGGAUAACAACUCAUGUGCCUAAUAUGAAACGUGUGUUAUAUAUACUUUUUUUAUAUUACUUUUAGAAAAAAAAACAUUUCGGUUUUACAAGUUUGUAUGUAACAGUUUACAUGUGUUUACACAAUAGUGUUCAAUGGAACUGCGUCUGUGUUUACAACACAGCUCCUGGAUGCAGGCACAGUCAGCUGGCAGAAGUGUACGCUCCUCCAUAGAGUACAAUGCAGCCGUCAUACCGGAAGUAGUGUUAUGUUUUAUUUUUAUGUAGUAUUAGAAACAGUGAUGUCGGUUUUACAGUUUUGUGUGUACAUAUACCCGUUUGCACCUGUACACGGGUAUGUACAUACCCAUUUCUUUUGAAAUGUAUAUUUUAUUAUAUUUUUUCACUGUUUGUAGUUGUGCUGUAUGCGCUAAUUAUAAAAAUAAAGCCUUUUAUGUUUAAUUUUCCAUUUAAAUAUGGUGUUUCUAUGAUGCAAAUGUUAGAUAUGAUGUUCAGAAAUAAAACUUUUCAGUUGUAUCCGAUAGCAUGUCUUUCAUUUUCAUAACGAAGCAGUUUAAAAAUGUAUGGGUCAAAGUGACCCACAUGGCGGUUCUAGGUAGUUCGAAAAUCCGACGGUUCUAGUGUUAAGUCAGCCUCCGUCAUCAUUCGAUACGUUACACGUUCCUGGCUACCUAGAGAUUUGUUACCGAACGGCUAACAUAGAACAUAAGACGUCACAAUGUAUUGAUUUUAAAACAUUCUACCUUUUUCAUCUGCCUAUCUACCUCAAUCUACUGUGAUACAUCUAAAAUAAUUUCAGUAACUCUGUUGUUUGUUGCAACAAGUUCUGAAACUGAAUCUGUUACACCCUCCUGAGCAAACCCACUCUCCAGCCUAACAGGAGUCACUAAAAUGGGGAUUCCUCUCCGAAAAUCUGUACCCCAAGUUCAGUUGCUCUUUUCAAUUUGGUUGGAGGACCGCUAUCAAUUUUUUAAAUGUUCCUGUUAAAAAUAUUUCUUUUUUAGCGUCCUGCACCAUAUUUUUCUACUGCUUCUCUGCGUCUUUUACAGACUGUUUGUGCUGUGGAUUAACAUUAUUUAUGUUCUCAGUAAUUCUUCCUCAUGCUUGUUGUUUGUACUGUUUGUGCACUUGUUAGAAAAUGUCCCUAACAGUGUUCAUUUUUCAACAUUGUACUCCUCAAAAGGCUAGGCUCCCACAGCGUAGCUCUUGCAGGGUAUGAAUUUGAUGAAUUUAGGUACUAAAAUCUCGCAAUGUUGAAUUUAGGUACUAAAACAAAGUUUAUUUCAUAACAAUAACCUAACCCUAAACCUAUGGUUUGUGGGGUAUUGGCUGUAACUUUAAAUACACACAACAAUAACCUAACCUUAAACCUAAAGUUCGUGGGGGUAUUGGCUGUUAAUCACCAAUUAAUUCUCACAGGGUAAUCACUAUGUUCAGUGUUCAUCCUAUCUCCUCUCUUCGUUAUUUAGGAAUUGAAAAGGUUUAUUUGCCCAGAAGGAUUUUGGAUAGAUUUUUUGAAAACAUUAACCCUCCAAGGUAUGAAUGUGGAAUUUGAUUUUAAGUGCUUCUUGUGAAAACUGUAUAAAUAUCUGUUACUUGAUUUAAAAUUGUUUUGUUUACUUUAUAGAAAAAUUGAACUAUGUAACUUAAUCAUGAGACCUUAAUUGGCAAUUGACUAUAUUAAUUCAUCUAAAAAUGUAUAUGAUUAUACAGAUUUGUAUUUUUUGUCUGAGUAAUGUGCCUCCUUAAUGUUGUAUAUUUCUUUUUAAAAUAUUUCUAUAUUAAUUGUCUAUACUUUUGUACAGCAAGUACUGUAUAUGGUAAUUGAUAAGUGCUUCUUGUAUACAUUGUAUAAAUUAAUUUAUUUCUCAAUAUAAAAUUGGUUUUGUCAAACUUAACAAUUUAAGUAUGUAACUCUAAAUUGGUAAUUGACUUUGUUAAUCUUCCUUGAUUGAUCUUAUACUAAUUAUUGAAUUUUCACGGGAAUGCAAUGACUUUUCUUCACCUGUGAUUGAUUACUUGAAACCUUUAAAUAUGUCUGUUUUAUACAAACUUUUACACUGAUGAAGACACUCCGGUGUCAAAAAGUCGGCUUUUAAUAAAUUAUUUUUGGAUUGCAA